GUUAAACAGUCGGAUGUCUUGAUGAUAAUGGGAUGCCGAAGAGAAGAGUUGAUGAAGAGGAGAUUGGAGAGAGAAGUGGAAUGUGUGCUUUUUGCCACCCUCACUCUUUAACUUGCCAACUGAUCUGAGAAUCUGAUGGGCCGUGGUAUAUAUAAAAACCUCAACUUGUUACAAGGAACCACGUAUUUAUGUCCACACGAAACAGUAACACAUUCAAUGAUCUAACUCUCUUACAACCAUGCUUUUCGUGUGUAACGAGCUCUCUGGUAAAAGUUAAGUAAGUGUGGUGGAGAUAUUUAGUUACUUUGGUUGAGACAAGGAGCCCCUUAAUAAUUCCUACUUACUAAAUACUACUUAUUUUCCUAUUACACAUUUCGUAGUAGGAGUUUGUUGCUUUACUUAUCACUCACCCACCACCACCUUGGAAGGUGAGCAGGUAUUCAUCCACUUUUCUUUAUUUCUUCAACCUGACACUCCACAAAAUGUCCGACGGUCCGACAGGCUCUCAAGUGUAUGAGAUCUUAUAUGGCCUGCGGGUAAGGCGAUUGUUCCAACUAUUUAACCAAUUACUUAUUUGAGCAAGAAAGUACGAGAUAGUUUCACUCGAAACACAAAUCCGAAGAUUUCAAACCUUGAGAAGAAGCGUGUUGCUUUGGAUGAAUCCAAUCUGAAGACUGACGCUCUGACAAAAUUAUCCCACAUACAACCAUAAGAUCACCCGCAUUCCUACAAUUCCCUCCGCAUAUUGACCUGAAGUCCUUUUUCCUACUUGGGUAGUAGGUGCAUAUGGAUGAGCAAAAAGGGGGUGUCUUAUACCCCGCCGAAAUGGAGGGUGGCUUAGGCGUACAAUAAAAAAUAGGACCCUCCCUCGGUCGGGAGGAUCAACAGGUUUAAGCAGUUUUGGAGCAAACCACCCAAAGUAAGUGUAGGGGAAUCAGGCCUUGUCGACGUGGGAAAACAUCUUGGGCAGAGAUUGUGCCCCUUCAAUCCCUGGUAAGCAUCAAUGAAGAAGAUGUGACGAGGGGAGAGUGUGAACAAUGCCCACCGUUUCAGUGACUUUCGUGGGAACGACCCGCACUUUCGCAUCUCCUUUUGAGCAAACUGUCCCACGACUCUCAGACCCGUCUACCUGCCUCCCUCCCUACCCGCAUCCCACCCGAUUCCUUCACAUCACUCCCAGAUUUGCCACCACCACCACCACCCUACGCAUUUCUACCCCUUCUCCCUUCCAUUCAAAGCGAGAUGAACAAGAAAUCAUGAAAAUUCCCACACCGUCCAAUCUUUUGUUUGAAGUCAUUGCACAAUGUCGCUUCCUCAUUCGUUUCUUGAAAUGUGUCGAUCUAUACAUAGAGAUAAAAUACGGUAAUGUUUUCAAUUUGGUGAGAAACUGGACAAAAUAAAGUCGGAUUCAUUUUCAGUACUUUUCCUA